rnacentral:tRNA from 1 species
AGAAAAUUUAGUUAAAAUUAUAACCUCAGCUUGUCAUGCUGAAAUCGCCUUCAAGGCAAUUUUC